GACAGAGGUGCCGAGCGUUAGGCGGAAUCACUGGGCGUAAAGGGCGCGUAGGCGGGAUGGCAAGUCAGUCGUGAAAUCUCUCGGCUCAACCGAGAAACGUCGGCUGAUACUGCCGUUCUUGAGGGAUGCAGAGGAGACUGGAAUUCCUGGUGUAGCGGUGAAAUGCGCAGAUAUCAGGAAGAACACCCGUGGCGAAGGCGGCUCUCUGGGACGGUACUGACGCUGAGACGCGAAAGCGUGGGGAGCGAACAGG
rnacentral:rRNA from 1 species